ACCUGGGCUCGCGGGCAACUUGUUGUGCGCAGUUCUCAAUGGAGCCCUGGACCCACGGGGCUCCGGGCCCGCCCGCUUUUUCCUUUUUGCUUUGCUUUUUCUCUCUUUUUUCAGUGUGUGAACUUGAAGCCGAAAGCAGAUAGGCGCUUCGCAUACUUUGGUGGUGGCCCACGAAUUGAAUUUGUCCCAUUAGUGAAGAUGUCCACUUUGACCACUCAAUCAACUGAUUACAGGAGUGUCCUCCAAUUUUCUCCAUUCUUGUGACACAGCCGUCGGAGGGAGAGUCGAAGUCCAGAGCAUCUGUGAGCGUCAGCCGGGCCCUCGGUGAAUAGUGAGCACUUUAUGGUCCUGACUGGGUCCCUCUGCCCGUUCAGUUCUGGAAACCAUGGGGCCCAUUUCGGUAUCUCCUCUGAAGACUAUAGAGGCUUUUACGGCGACUCUUUCGUGCACGGGCCUCAUGCCUUUCUCCUCUUCUCCUUCCUCCUCAUUCUCCGCUGUUUAGUCUUUCUCAUCUAUUUGUUUUAUUUUCUUUUGCUCUGUUGGUUGGGUGUAUAUUUGUAAGCUGUGUGAAAUCCCUUUUGGCAUAAAAUCAGGAGAACAUGAGUAACUAUAAUGAAACAAAUAGAUACAUUAUUAUGUAGCACCUGGCACACACUUUACCUAAUUCCUGUACCGUGAGGCCAGGGACAUGACUGUUUUUUAUCCUCCCAUCUUCCCCUGGCUACAAUGCCUUGCAAAAUCGUACCAAAGACUUAAUAAACGUCUGGUAAAUUGUAGAGAA